AUGAACGCUGGCGGCGUGGGUAAGGCAUGCAAGUCAAGGGGCCCGCAAGGGCACCGGCAAACGAGGUAGUAAUAAGUAGGUAUGAACCUAGAAGUCAGGAAUAGCUAUCCGAAAGGAUAGGUAAUACUUGAUAGUCUCCGCCAAUUGGCGGAGUAAAGAUUUAUCGCUUCUAGAUCGGCCUGCUCGAUAUCAGCUAGUUGGUGAGGUAAUGGCUCACCAAGGCUAUGACGUCUAGGGGACCUGAGAGGGUGAUCCCCACCGAUGGUACUGAGAUACGGACCAUACACCUACGGGUGGCCGCAGUCGAGAAUCUUCCGCAAUGGGCGAAAGCCUGACGGAGCGACGCCGCGUGGUUGAUGAAGCUCUUCGGAGCGUAAAAACCUUUUAUCGGGGAGAAAGUUUAUUGAUAGUACCCGAUGAAUAAGAGGUUGCUAAACUCGU
rnacentral:rRNA from 1 species